UAGAAUAUUUAACUCACGAAAAUUAUUACAUGCUUGUAAUUUCACUAGCUGUUCCGUGAUCUUGGGCACUUGUGACUAUUUGAUAGUGAACGCAGGUACAUGAAACAUUGAUACAUGAUAUUCAAGUCUUGGCUUCUGUUUCGAUGAAGCGGCGGUUCACAUGACGGAGACCGAGUUCCAGUCCGCGUCAGCCUGUGCAUAGAAAUACAUUUUUGGAAUUUCUCAAGAACAAGUGUCCUGCUAUUCUGCAUCAACUAGUACAAUCCUGUUUCGUUCUUAGGUGAUUCCUUGGAAUGUCCUGAACCAAGAGAAAAGCAUGAGACUCUCGUGGCCGAUCAACCAAGUUGUUUUAGUCAUGCAUUUUUGUCGGUUUGUAAUGUUUAUGUCUUAGGCUAUGGCUCUCUGUCAUUCAUGAAUCCUGUCAGUGUAACUUGUAGUUUAUGCCCCCUUAUCAAUGGAAUUCAAUAAUUUUCACGCGAAAGAAAAUUGUUUCGUAUUGUCGAACCAAUGGAUUGUAAUUAUUUUUGUCACGAAAUUUAAAUAGGAAAGGACUGCAUUUUUCUUCUUUAA